rnacentral:antisense_RNA from 1 species
AGACUCCUCUGCGGGAGAGGAGAAUAGCUGUACUCUAAGCAGUUCGCAGGGAGCAUCUUUCAGCAGCUGAAACAGCUUUGCGGCCUUGCUGUAAUGAAGAUCUGCCAGCACCCGGUGUUGUUUCCUAAGGUGUUCAUCACCAACCUAGAACCAAACCAAAACAAGCAACAAAUCCUUCACGAGAAAGAAAGAAAACAACUGUGUAAGCAGACAUCAGUGUAAACCUUAGCACUGUCUCUUGAUGAGAUAAGAGGAGGAUGGCAGUGACAGGAGUGUGGUGGCGAGCCAGUCACCUGCAGUCAACCACGGCUCAUUGCUCUCACCAUGCCUGUUACAUGAAGGUAUGUAUGUAUAGGAAAAAGCACUGAAAAACUCUCCAGUUUCAGGCAUCCACUGGGGAUCCUGGAACGCAUCCUCCAAGGAUAAGUGGGGUCUACUGUACAACACUUAAGUAUAACCCUCUUCACUAUUAACCAAAUGAUAUUAAAAUAAGCAAAGAAAAACA